AUGUUUGUGACUGAGUGGCGGACGGGUGAGUAACGCGUGGGUAACCUGCCUUGCAGAGGGGGACAACAGUUGGAAACGGCUGCUAAUACCGCAUGACACAUAGGUGUCGCAUGGCACUUAUGUCAAAGAUUUAUCGCUGAAAGAUGGCCUCGCGUCUGAUUAGCUUGUUGGUGAGGUAACGGCUCACCAAGGCGACGAUCAGUAGCCGGCCUGAGAGGGUGAACGGCCACAUUGGGACUGAGACACGGCCCAAACUCC
rnacentral:rRNA from 1 species